AUAUAGUACAAAGGUGUAGAUUAAAAAUUACACCACUCCAGGCCCUUUUGUUUUCCACGUAAUUAAUAUUGCCAAUAAUUAAGAAGUUCCGGGUCGAGUCCGAUACCGAUACCAAUAAUAUAUUCACCUGUUACCGAUUACCUUAUCUGUACGUUCCGCAUCUGACAGGCGCACCACCAAACGGUGUAUUCAGGAUUUAUAUGCUAUAUAGUAUUACACGGGUCAUAAUCACAGGGUUGACACUACUUAAUUGUCAAAUUGUUACCUAUUGUAGUAUUUUAAUCAGUUAGACUUUCUAAGAUAACAAUACGAAUACUAAAAAUCUGGACUAAAAUAAGGCGUAUAGGUACAGUUUUCAAUUUGUUAGCGGGCAUGACGUAAAACAGCGAAUCAAAGAAUUC
rnacentral:lncRNA from 1 species